GACGAACGCUGGCGGCGUGCCUAAUACAUGCAAGUUGAGCGCUGAAGGUUGGUACUUGUACCAACUGGAUGAGCAGCGAACGGGUGAGUAACGCGUGGGGAAUCUGCCUUUGAGCGGGGGACAACAUUUGGAAACGAAUGCUAAUACCGCAUAAAAACUUUAAACACAAGUUUUAAGUUUGAAAGAUGCACUUGCAUCACUCAAAGAUGAUCCCGCGUUGUAUUAGCUAGUUGGUGAGGUAAAGGCUCACCAAGGCGAUGAUACAUAGCCGACCUGAGAGGGUGAUCGGCCACAUUGGGACUGAGACAAGGCCCAAACUCCUACGGGAGGCAGCAGUAGGGAAUCUUCGGCAAUGGACGAAAGUCUGACCGAGCAACGCCGCGUGAGUGAAGAAGGUUUUCGGAUCGUAAAACUCUGUUGGUAGAGAAGAACGUUGGUGAGAGUGGAAAGCUCAUCAAGUGACGGUAACUACCCAGAAAGGGACGGCUAACUACGUG
rnacentral:rRNA from 1 species